UAAUCUAGUGACAACACGCAUGAACCUGGAGGCCAACACGCUGGGUGAGGGAAGCCAGGCACAGGACAAACACUGCAUGACCCCGCUUCCCUGAGAAUCGACAGAAAACUCAGGGGAGCAGGGGCCGGGCGGAGGGAACGCACGCCAGCAGUUCAGGCUGCGCACCAGCCAGUGCAGACAUUACAGCACAGCGCGGUGCCCGCCGUCAACACGGACCACGUACUGGAAAAUUCGCCAAGGAGAAAGUUUAUGAAACCAAAAAGUUGGAAAGAAUUUCCCAAAAGCCCGGUACAGCGGUGCAGCCACAGGACACAGAAGCACAGCUCCCAGAGGCUAUAAGUGUGUCAGCUUCGACACUGCUAACGACGCACGUCCUGUCUGCAGGAAAGCAGUUUUGGUGGCUCGAGGUUUUUUUCUCUGUACUUUUGCAGUGAACAUGUGACACGUAUAACCAGAAAAAACAUUGACGUGAUACAAUAAUGCCUACCUGUUUUCCUCAUAGUGGACAUUAUGAAGAUCAGAAACGUUUUAAAAUGCCCUGAAAAAUCAUAACUUACCCUAUGUGCAUAGUCUUGCCACCAUGGAAGUUCUCCCAGGGCAGGGGCUAGGCUUUCAAGUCAACACCAGUCUCUAGAGUGAGGCACACACACACAGUAAGCACUUGCUGAACUCAUGCUGAAUACACAAAUAAAAUGCAUGAAUGUC